ACAAGUGAAAAAGAAUUAAAGGUCAGUUUGGUCAUGUUGAAACAACUGACGUUUACAUGGGUGGCGCUUUCCUGGACUUUAUUGUUGAUUUGCUGUUUUCGUCUUCACCUUCCAACAUUAUGUAGUUAAUUCUCAACGGAUGAGUGAGAGCAACUGGAGAUUUAUUUGAACUCUACUAAAACAAUAAAUUUGAUUCUGCAGUUAAUUAAGGCAUGACAUAAUUAGUUUUAAUUGUUCUUUAUAGCAUAAAUUAACGUUAUCCUAAAUUUAUGGUAUCGUCCACAAAAUAAGUUAACGUUCUACAUCGGUGGCAUCUCUUUCCAAGCUGGCGUUUUCCUGCAUCUAUGGUAUCAAUUAAAAUUAAUCUAUUGUUCACACCAUAAUUCAAUGUUAUCGUGCAUCUAUUGGUAUUUGUUCUAACGAUUCUCUAUUGUUCGGAGCAUUAAGUGACGUUAUUGUGCACUUUGGUACUUUCUUUUUAACAAAUAUCUAUUGUCGACCGGAUAAAUUAUUGUUUCGGUGCAUCUAUGAUUACUUCACUUGUUCUAUUCUGUUCUCAGCCUUGUAGAAGGAGGUAGGGCCGCCCCGUACAAGUUCGCUUGGCCUUAGCUUUUUAGUUGAUCUUAAAAGUGGUUUCAUUUAAUUGUGUAGAAUACGUUUCUAUUUAGUGAUUAAGGGGUGUUGAUUAUUUUUGCGUAGAUUUAUUUUAGCGUAAACGAUUUGGUGCUUCAACAUAGGAGUUCAUCAUGGCAUCUUACGUGUCCGCCACCAUCUACUGUGAAUUUUUACAUUUUUGGUUUAUCUGAGGUGGAAUAAUUGGGCUUCUGGUAGAAUUUUUCAAUUUUGAAAACAGUUUCAAGCGAUGAUUGCAGAUUUUUCAUAUCGAUGGACCACGUCGUGAGGAUUACUUGUACUGAAAUGCUUGCUAAGAGAUAACAUCCUUGGAUUAGAUGGACAGACUACUUACAGAUGUAAUAUUGCAACAAUCAGACUUACUUAUAUUUCCAGAAAUGGUAAUGAACUAGUCGAAAAAUUCAUGGGGCACUGCUGUUAACAAUAGUUUCCAUUACAUCCUAAUAUCGUGAACAUAGAGAGGGUUAAUCAAAAGGAUUCGAAACGUGAGAGCUCCACUCACGCUUCUCUCUCUUGUGCUUGAAAAGAGGCCAUUUGUAGAAAGGGUUAUUAUUUAAACACAUGAAAUGAGAGGUGGAGCCCUUUUAAUGCUCUUUCCUUUUGGACCUAAACGGUGCAGUUGUUAGAAAAUACAUGAAGUCCAAUUGACACCAAUGUAUAUGUCUUCUGCUAUGUGGCUCAUUUCACAAUCAGUGGUUUUAUUUUUCCUUUCAUAAGCAUCUACUGUUAGAGGUACUUCUCUAUUAUCAUCGCUUAGGAAUAAAACUCUAGCACCAUACAGUAAUCCUCGAGGUAAGCAAUUGUACUUUCAUAUAAUAAUUUGCAAUGUCUAGCGUCUAUGGUUUC